rnacentral:lncRNA from 1 species
UUUGAAUAUAUUUAUUCAUAAUUAAUUUUUAAUAUUUUAUGUUCUUUUACUUUGUUUAACUCCCAAAGAAUAUUUGUAUGUUUUGAAACAAUUCAGUGUUCAACAUUAGACAUAUGAUCCUCAGUUAUGGAUAAUAUUAAAUAUUCAUUAAUAAUAUUUUUGGGGUAUGAAAGGAUAUAAAUAUAAAAACUGAAUAAUUUUUAUGUAUCAUUUGAUUCCCAGAAUAGUCAAUAUUCUUAAUAUAUUUGAUGUAUAAAAUGCAUUUAAAUAAUAAAAAAAUUAAGAAAAAGAAAAACAUAGCUUAAUAUAUAAGAUAUAUAUAUCUUAUAUAUACAGGAAACCACUUAUAUAGUGGUUCUAUAUCAAUAUAUCAUAUAUAUAUAUAUUGACAUAUAUAUAUAUAUAUAUAUAUAUAUAUCCAUCCAUGCUAAAAAUCCAUGAGAUGUUAUGAUAAUGAGUAUACAGUUCAAUUUCUCAGGUAUUUUUAGUUAUAAUUUAGAUAAGCUGGUAUCAAGGAAAAAUUGAAAAGAUUUUUGUCUUAUUGUACCUUAAGUAAACACAUGAGAGAAACCUAUUUCACAAAGUUCAAUAUUUAUGAAACAGUCUAGAAUUAUUCUUCCCAUUUUUCGGACAAGGGUCUAAAUGAUAAAACCACAAUAAAAAAGCUUUUGCUUUCCCACGAUGAAGUUUUUGCACUUUAAAAGCCAGAGAAAACAAAUUUAAAGAGAUUUACUGAAGAUGCUGUUUGCGUUUAUUACUUCAGUAGCAAAGCUAAUUUAUAACACUUAUGUGAGUACUCCAUAGGCUUUGCCUGCAUGCCUCCUAAUUCUCCCAUAAGAAGACAUACUCCAGCUUAUAUCAUCAGAUAUAAUUCUAUUCUCUAAGGUCAAGGCUGGUGCAAGUAUAGUAAGCGCCAUAAAGACACAUUUCUAAAAACAGAGAUUGAUGCCUUUGUUGAAAUGCAUAUCUGAAAAAAUAAAACUUUAUUUAAAAAGGCAAACCCUCCAGCUUACCUGUAUUACUCUAGGGGAUCCUGACUUUGCUAUACUGGUUCUUUAAUAUUUACCUCCAACACCUCUGUCUGGGAAUAUGCUUGGUGCACAUUUUAUGACCCUGACAGCGCAUCCCAGCAGGGAUUGCUUGGAAGAAAAUUUCCAAAAAUUUCCAAGAAAUAAAAACAAAAAACCCCAACAAAACAAAUAACAGUUAAAAGAAUUUUCUUUCAGAAUUGUUUUGAUGAUGCAUGGAAUUAUGUCAGCCAAACUCAAAGUCCCUGUAUCAUCUUUGGCACAGUGUCCAUGUGUUUCUUAGUGUUUAUAAGGGGUUCCCUCUCCUCAAAAAACACAAUAAAAC